rnacentral:rRNA from 1 species
UUAAGUUAUUAAGGGCGCACGGUGGAUGCCUUGGCACUAGAAGCCGAUGAAGGACGUUACUAACGACGAUAUGCUUUGGGGAGCUGUAAGUAAGCUUUGAUCCAGAGAUUUCCGAAUGGGGAAACCCAGCAUGAGUUAUGUCAUGUUAUCGAUAUGUGAAUACAUAGCAUAUCAGAAGGCACACCCGGAGAACUGAAACAUCUUAGUACCCGGAGGAAGAGAAAGAAAAUUCGAUUCCCUUAGUAGCGGCGAGCGAACGGGAAGAGCCCAAACCAACAAGCUUGCUUGUUGGGGUUGUAGGACACUCUAUACGGAGUUACAAAGGACGACAUUAGACGAAUCAUCUGGAAAGAUGAAUCAAAGAAGGUAAUAAUCCUGUAGUCGAAAAUGUUGUCUCUCUUGAGUGGAUCCUGAGUACGACGGAGCACGUGAAAUUCCGUCGGAAUCUGGGAGGACCAUCUCCUAAGGCUAAAUACUCUCUAGUGACCGAUAGUGAACCAGUACCGUGAGGGAAAGGUGAAAAGCACCCCGGAAGGGGAGUGAAAUAGAACCUGAAACCGUGUGCUUACAAGUAGUCAGAGCCCGUUAAUGGGUGAUGGCGUGCCUUUUGUAGAAUGAACCGGCGAGUUACGAUUUGAUGCAAGGUUAAGCAGUAAAUGUGGAGCCGUAGCGAAAGCGAGUCUGAAUAGGGCGUUUAGUAUUUGGUCGUAGACCCGAAACCAGGUGAUCUACCCUUGGUCAGGUUGAAGUUCAGGUAACACUGAAUGGAGGACCGAACCGACUUACGUUGAAAAGUGAGCGGAUGAACUGAGGGUAGCGGAGAAAUUUCAAUCGAACCUGGAGAUAGCUGGUUCUCUCCGAAAUAGCUUUAGGGCUAGCCUCAAGUGAUGAUUAUUGGAGGUAGAGCACUGUUUGGACGAGGGGCCCCUCUCGGGUUACCGAAUUCAGACAAACUCCGAAUGCCAAUUAAUUUAACUUGGGAGUCAGAACAUGGGUGAUAAGGUCCGUGUUCGAAAGGGAAACAGCCCAGACCACCAGCUAAGGUCCCAAAAUAUAUGUUAAGUGGAAAAGGAUGUGGCGUUGCCCAGACAACUAGGAUGUUGGCUUAGAAGCAGCCAUCAUUUAAAGAGUGCGUAAUAGCUCACUAGUCGAGUGACACUGCGCCGAAAAUGUACCGGGGCUAAACAUAUUACCGAAGCUGUGGAUUGUCCUUUGGACAAUGGUAGGAGAGCGUUCUAAGGGCGUUGAAGCAUGAUCGUAAGGACAUGUGGAGCGCUUAGAAGUGAGAAUGCCGGUGUGAGUAGCGAAAGACGGGUGAGAAUCCCGUCCACCGAUUGACUAAGGUUUCCAGAGGAAGGCUCGUCCGCUCUGGGUUAGUCGGGUCCUAAGCUGAGGCCGACAGGCGUAGGCGAUGGAUAACAGGUUGAUAUUCCUGUACCACCUAUAAUCGUUUUAAUCGAUGGGGGGACGCAGUAGGAUAGGCGAAGCGUGCGAUUGGAUUGCACGUCUAAGCAGUAAGGCUGAGUAUUAGGCAAAUCCGGUACUCGUUAAGGCUGAGCUGUGAUGGGGAGAAGACAUUGUGUCUUCGAGUCGUUGAUUUCACACUGCCGAGAAAAGCCUCUAGAUAGAAAAUAGGUGCCCGUACCGCAAACCGACACAGGUAGUCAAGAUGAGAAUUCUAAGGUGAGCGAGCGAACUCUCGUUAAGGAACUCGGCAAAAUGACCCCGUAACUUCGGGAGAAGGGGUGCUCUUUAGGGUUAACGCCCAGAAGAGCCGCAGUGAAUAGGCCCAAGCGACUGUUUAUCAAAAACACAGGUCUCUGCUAAACCGUAAGGUGAUGUAUAGGGGCUGACGCCUGCCCGGUGCUGGAAGGUUAAGAGGAGUGGUUAGCUUCUGCGAAGCUACGAAUCGAAGCCCCAGUAAACGGCGGGCGUAACUAUAACGGUCCUAAGGUAGCGAAAUUCCUUGUCGGGUAAGUUCCGACCCGCACGAAAGGCGUAACGAUUUGGGCACUGUCUCAACGAGAGACUCGGUGAAAUCAUAGUACCUGUGAAGAUGCAGGUUACCCGCGACAGGACGGAAAGACCCCGUGGAGCUUUACUGUAGCCUGAUAUUGAAAUUCGGCACAGCUUGUACAGGAUAGGUAGGAGCCUUUGAAACGUGGGCGCUAGCUUACGUGGAGGCGCUGGUGGGAUACUACCCUAGCUGUGUUGGGUUUCUAACCCGCACCACUUAUCGUGGUGGGAGACAGUGUCAGGCGGGCAGUUUGACUGGGGCGGUCGCCUCCUAAAAGGUAACGGAGGCGCUCAAAGGUUCCCUCAGAAUGGUUGGAAAUCAUUCAUAGAGUGUAAAGGCAUAAGGGAGCUUGACUGCGAGACCUACAAGUCGAGCAGGGUCGAAAGACGGACUUAGUGAUCCGGUGGUUCCGCAUGGAAGGGCCAUCGCUCAACGGAUAAAAGCUACCCCGGGGAUAACAGGCUUAUCUCCCCCAAGAGUUCACAUCGACGGGGAGGUUUGGCACCUCGAUGUCGGCUCAUCGCAUCCUGGGGCUGUAGUCGGUCCCAAGGGUUGGGCUGUUCGCCCAUUAAAGCGGUACGCGAGCUGGGUUCAGAACGUCGUGAGACAGUUCGGUCCCUAUCCGUCGUGGGCGUAGGAAAUUUGAGAGGAGCUGUCCUUAGUACGAGAGGACCGGGAUGGACAUACCUCUGGUGUACCAGUUGUCGUGCCAACGGCAUAGCUGGGUAGCUAUGUGUGGACGGGAUAAGUGCUGGAAAGCAUCUAAGCAUGAAGCCCCCCUCAAGAUGAGAUUUCCCAACUUCGGUUAUAAGAUCCCUCAAAGAUGAUGAGGUUAAUAGGUUCGAGGUGGAAGCAUGGUGACAUGUGGAGCUGACGAAUACUAAUCGAUCGAAGACUUAAUCAA